GAUGAACGCUGGCGGCGUGCCUAAUACAUGCAAGUCGAGCGAAUGGAUUAAGAGCUUGCUCUUAUGAAGUUAGCGGCGGACGGGUGAGUAACACGUGGGUAACCUGCCCAUAAGACUGGGAUAACUCCGGGAAACCGGGGCUAAUACCGGAUAACAUUUUGAACCGCAUGGUUCGAAAUUGAAAGGCGGCUUCGGCUGUCACUUAUGGAUGGACCCGCGUCGCAUUAGCUAGUUGGUGAGGUAACGGCUCACCAAGGCAACGAUGCGUAGCCGACCGGGGAGGGUGAUCGGCCACACUGGGACUGAGACGCGGCCCAGACUCCUACGUGAGGCAGCAGUAGGGAAUCUUCCGCAAUGGACGACAGUCUGACGGAGCAACGCCGCGUGAGUGAUGAAGGCUUUCGGGUCGUAAAACUCUGUUGUUAGGGAAGAACAAGUGCUAGUUGAAUAAGCUGGCACCUUGACGGUACCUAACCAGAAAGCCACGGCUAACUACGUGCCAGCAGCCGCCGUAA
rnacentral:rRNA from 1 species